UGUGUGUGUGAAGAAGCAUCGAAGCGCGGCAGCCAUGUUCAGCGUGGCAUUUCGGAAGGCUUGUCAGGGGUGGAGAAGCGGGGCGGGUUGCUGUUCUUUCACCUGACACUAAAGCGCCAUGCCGGAAGCACUGAGUCUGAUACGUCGGAACCAGUCUCCACCGUGUGGUUUGGUCUUGAUUUCCACUGGUACUCUGGGGUCUUGGAUAAGUCUCUGGACCUCGCCUUUGUCAUUUGCGAAGUCGAUAGGUUCCAAUAGAGAUUUUCCCAGAAUCAUUCAACUAAAAAUAGAGAACUUUUUUUUUUUGAGAGGAAGGACGGGGGCGCAGUUAAAGAUGUUAAUGUUAAGUCAUCCCUUCUGUGAUUUCGGGACAUUAUCUUUGCACGCCAUGUGAAGAUGUGCUUGCUUCCUUGUCACCUUCCGCCAUGAUUGUAAGUUUCCUGAGGCCUCCCAGGAAGCAGAAGCCUGUACAGCCCACAGAACCAUGACCUGAUGAAAUCUCUUUUCUUUAUAAAUUACCCAGUCUCAGAUCUUGCUAUGCUUGUCAUUGUGUAAGCAGCAAACUUGCAGUGACCAGUUGGAUUCCACCCCCCUGAUGUUGGUGGUGUGCUCUUGGGGAGAUGUCUUCCAGACAGGCAAAGAAGAGUGACAUCAUCAGAGCAUGGACGACCUCAAAGAUAUUCCAGCUAUGAGGAAACAAAAGGAGGGUGUUAGAGGAAAAAGAGGGAAACCCACUGACAGAGAGGAAGGCUGAAGAGAUCCCACCGCUGACUUGGACUAAGGAGAGAGAAGUCAAAGAGUGGUUACCUGGAUGAGGUGGCUGAAUAUGGGCCUGCUCUUGUCACUUUGGAUGUCACAACUAGCCUUGAGAAGAGCUGCUGUUCCAGGAGUCUGUCACAACUAGCCUUGAGAAGAGCUGCUGUUCCAGGAGUCUGUAGCCAAGGACGUACAGCAGUGGAGGCUGACUCAUCGCAUAGCUGAGUGACCAAUUGCUUGGCAUGAGUUUACUUUAAUGGCUGUUUCUGAGUUUGAUCCCUCUCCGGAACCAACCCCUCUGAUGUGUCCUGUUCCAGCAGGAAGAGACAGACCUGGAGGUUCUGUACUUGUGAUUUCUGGUUGUGGAUCCUGAGAACAAGAAGUACUGGGAUCCUAAAGUUCUGACAUUUGCAAAGCAGAUUAAUGACCUACCACAUUCCAGAUCAUUUGGUGAUUUUGUGUGUGCGUGUGGGUGUGUGUGUGUGUGUGCCAAAUUCAAGGUGGUCCCAGCCUUUCUAGUCUUCUCUAACCUUUCUUCUCAGAAGUCGCACCUGUUCUGUCUUUCUAGGAUAUAAUUUUUUUUCUAUUAGCCUGGGUAACACCCCAACCAAUAAAGUUUGCAAUAUCCAAGCCUCCUAAUUUCUCUACUUAUUAGCUUAUAUUAAGCUUCAGCAUGAGCAAGCCUAAAAACUCGCCAUUAUCUGGAAAAGUUCUAUUUCACAGGCUUUAAUCUCUCCUAGAGUAGUUAGCACUCUUUUGUGGCUUUGUGUUCCUGUACUAGCUUGAAUUCCACAGUCUGACGUUAAUAAUUAGCUCCUUAACACGUCCAUCCUCUCUUGAUGUCCUGCUCUCUAUUUUUCCUUCUUUCUUCCAAGUUGGGAUAAAUUCAGCUUCUUAUUUUCCUGCUCCAGACCUUGGUUGUGGAGAAAGAUAGAAAAAGUUCCAUACAGGGGACUCUGUGAUCCUGCUAACAUCAUUAUUUACCUAAGCUCUUUAGACUCCAGUGAAAGCUUCUGAUUUAAUGUCAUGUCCCUACUUUAUGCCACAUGUCCCAUACCAUUUUCUUUGUUUUAUGCAAUUUAUUUCCACUAUCUGAUCCCAUUCCACCCACAUGACUUUGAGUGGAAAACUUCAUCUCUUCAUUGCUGAGUAAACAAACUUCAGGAUGAACAAGCCCUGUCCACUAUUUUCCCUUUUACUUUAAAAUUCUGGAAUUUUUAUGAUCUACGUUUUUUUCCUCUGUUUUUAUUCUUCACUCCAUAUCAACUUACUUGGGGAUCUACACCUUCAUUCAUUCUUUUCAUUCUGUCGGCACCUGGCUAUGGAGUUUACAUUUCUCAUCAUAUUUACUCCUCAUAAUAAUCCUGUGAGGUAUAUACCACUCUGAGUCUUGUAUAAGAGAAAAAGAAACUGAGAUAGGGAUAACUCAAAGGGAUAAUUCAUUUGCUGGAGCUACCAACUAGCUACUAACCAUGCUAGAAUGGACAGAGAUGACAUUCAUGCCAAAGACCAUGUUGACUUGCUAUCUCUACAUUUGCUCUAAGUUUAGAAAAAAAAAAUCCCUUCAAUUUAUCCUCCAACAGUCUUCUUAGAACCUUACCAUGGAUGCCUUGUAUAACACAUUUC
rnacentral:lncRNA from 1 species